rnacentral:ncRNA from 1 species
GGGAAGAAGACCCUGUUGAGCUUGACUCUAAUCUGGCAGGUGAAGAGACAUGAGAUGUGCAGAAUAAGUGGGAGGCCCCCGGCGCCCCUUCCCUGAGUCCCCGCGAGGGGGCAGGGAGGGGGGCACGCCGGCCUUGCGGGCUGCCGGUGAAAUACCACUACUCCUCUGAUCAUUUUUUCACUGAUCCGUGAGGGGGGGGGCGGGCAAGCCCUGAGGGGCUCUUGCUUCUGGAGCUAAGCGCCCAGCGGCUGCAUGCCGGCUGGGGUGGUCUGGGCGUGACCCGCUCCGGGGACAGUGCCAGGUGGGGAGUUUGGGGCGGUACACCUGUCAAACAGUAACGCAGGUGUCCUAAGGCGAGCUCAGGGAGAACAGAAAUCUCCCAUGGAGCAGAAGGGUAAAAAGCUCGCUUGAUCUUGAUUUUCAGUACGAAUACAGACCGGAAAAGCGGGGCCCUCACGACCCUUCUGACCUUUUGGGUUUUAAGCAGGAGGUGUCAGAAAAAUUACCACAGGAAUAACUGGCUUGUGGCGGCCAAAGCGUUCAUAGCGAUGUUGCUUUUUGAUCCUUCCUAGUCAAUCU